CUGCCUACUUAUGAUCUCUAUCUGAUAAAUAAAUAAAAUCGAGGCUUAUCCAUUGCACUCCGGAUGUGCUGACCCCUGCGAUUUCCCCAAAUGUGGGAAACUCAACUGCAUAAUUUGUGGUAGUGGGGGACUGCGUUCGCGCUUUCCCCUA
rnacentral:snRNA from 1 species